GACGAACGCUGGCGGCGUGCUUAACACAUGCAAGUCGAACGGAAAGGCCCUGCUUUUGUGGGGUGCUCGAGUGGCGAACGGGUGAGUAACACGUGAGUAACCUGCCCUUGACUUUGGGAUAACUUCAGGAAACUGGGGCUAAUACCGGAUAGGAGCUCCUGCUGCAUGGUGGGGGUUGGAAAGUUUCGGCGGUUGGGGAUGGACUCGCGGCUUAUCAGCUUGUUGGUGGGGUAGUGGCUUACCAAGGCUUUGACGGGUAGCCGGCCUGAGAGGGUGACCGGCCAAAUUGGGAAUGGGAUACGGGCCAGACUCCUACGGGAGGCAGCAGUGGGGAAUAUUGCACAAUGGGCGGAAGCCUGAUGCAGCAACGCCGCGUGCGGGAUGACGGCCUUCGGGUUGUAAACCGCUUUCGCCUGUGACGAAGCGUGAGUGACGGUAAUGGGUAAAGAAGCACCGGCUAACUACGUG
rnacentral:rRNA from 1 species